GAUGAACGCUGGCGGCGUGCCUAAUACAUGCAAGUCGAGCGAACAGACGAGGAGCUUGCUCCUCUGACGUUAGCGGCGGACGGGUGAGUAACACGUGGAUAACCUACCAAUAAGACUGGGAUAACUUCGGGAAACCGGAGCUAAUACCGGAUAAUAUAUUGAACCGCAUGGUUCAAUAGUGAAAGACGGUUUUGCUGUCACUUAUAGAUGGAUCCGCGCCGCAUUAGCUAGUUGGUAAGGUAACGGCUUACCAAGGCAACGAUGCGUAGCCGACCUGAGAGGGUGAUCGGCCACACUGGAACUGAGACACGGUCCAGACUCCUACGGGAGGCAGCAGUAGGGAAUCUUCCGCAAUGGGCGAAAGCCUGACGGAGCAACGCCGCGUGAGUGAUGAAGGUCUUCGGAUCGUAAAACUCUGUUAUUAGGGAAGAACAAAUGUGUAAGUAACUAUUCACGUCUUGACGGUACCUAAUCAGAAAGCCACGGCUAACUACGUG
rnacentral:rRNA from 1 species